rnacentral:rRNA from 1 species
UACAGAGGUCCCAAGCGUUGUUCGGAUUCACUGGGCGUAAAGGGUGCGUAGGCGGUCGGGUAAGUCUGAUGUGAAAUCUCACAGCUUAACUGUGAAACUGCAUUGGAUACUAUCCGGCUCGAGGAAUGGAGGGGAGACUGGAAUACUUGGUGUAGCAGUGAAAUGCGUAGAUAUCGUCAGGAACGCCAAUGGUGAAGACAGGUGACUGGGCUAGAUCUGACACUGAGGCACGAAAGCGUGGGGAGCGAACGGG